CAGUAGCCGCGGUAAUACAGAGGCCUCAAGCGUUGUUCGGAUUCAUUGGGCGUAAAGGGUGCGUAGUCGGUUCCGUAAGUCGGAUGUGAAAUCCUGGGGCUCAACCUCAGAACUGCAUUCGAUACUGCGGGGCUAGAGGACUGGAGAGGAGAGUGGAAUUCACGGUGUAGCAGUGAAAUGCGUAGAUAUCGUGAGGAAGACCAGCGGCGAAGGCGGCUCUCUGGACAGUUCCUGACGCUGAUGCACGAAGGCCAGGGGAGCAAACGGGAUUAGAUACCCCUGUAGUCCCUGUCUCUUAUAA
rnacentral:rRNA from 1 species